rnacentral:rRNA from 1 species
AGGUAGUAAACUUUACUAAAACCUAAUUAUAAUGGCGGCAUUAAUUUUUAUCAGAGAAAUUCGUCUAAUAAUCGACAAUACCCGAUAAUUUUCACUUUUUUUAAAAAUUUAUAUACCGCCGUCAUACGAAUUAAUUUCAACAUUUUUUCAAAAUAAAACAAUAAAAUCAUAGGUCAAGGUGUAGUCUAUAAAAAAGAAUAGAUAAAUUUCAUUAAAAAAAAUUUCUUGAAUUAAACUCAAAUAUUAAUAAGAAACAGAAUUUGAAAAUAUUUUAAACAUAAUAUGUUUUUUAGAAUAAAAAAACAAAUGUGC